rnacentral:rRNA from 1 species
GUCCACACGGUAAACGAUGAAUGCUAGGUGUAGGGGGUAUCGACCCCUUCUGUGCCGGAGUUAACACAAUAAGCAUUCCGCCUGGGGAGUACGGCCGCAAGGUUGAAACUCAAAGGAAUUGACGGGGCCCGCACAAGCAGCGGAGCAUGUGGUUUAAUUCGAAGCAACGCGAAGAACCUUACCAGGUCUUGACAUCCAGUAAAAACUGUCGAGAGGCAGUGUCCCUUCGGGGGUACUGAGACAGGUGGUGCAUGGUUGUCGU